rnacentral:rRNA from 1 species
UUCCAGACUCCUACGGGAGGCAGCAGUGGGGAAUAUUGCACAAUGGGGGAAACCCUGAUGCAGCAACGCCGCGUGAGUGAAGAAGUAUUUCGGUAUGUAAAGCUCUAUCAGCAGGGAAGAGAAUGACGGUACCUGACUAAGAAGCCCCGGCUAACUACGUGCCAGCAGCCGCGGUAAUACGUAGGGGGCAAGCGUUAUCCGGAUUUACUGGGUGUAAAGGGGGCGCAGACGGCGAUGCAAGCCAGGAGUGAAAGCCCGGGGCCCAACCCCGGGACUGCUCUUGGAACUGCGUGGCUGGAGUGCAGGAGGGGCAGGCGGAAUUCCUGGUGUAGCGGUGAAAUGCGUAGAUAUCAGGAGGAACACCGGUGGCGAAGGCGGCCUGCCGGACUGCAACUGACGUUGAGGCCCGAAAGCGUGGGGAGCAAACAGGAUUAGAUACCCCGUA